rnacentral:tRNA from 1 species
CCCGCCGUAGUUCAGUGGUAGAACGCCUGGCUCUUCAUCCAGGUGGACGCCGGUUCGAGCCCGGUCGGCGGUGCCA